rnacentral:rRNA from 1 species
AUUGAACGCUGGCGGCAUGCCUUACACAUGCAAGUCGAACGGCAGCACGGGAGCAAUCCUGGUGGCGAGUGGCGAACGGGUGAGUAAAGUAUCGGAACGUGCCCAGUCGUGGGGGAUAACGUAGCGAAAGGUACGCUAAUACCGCAUACGAUCUAUGGAUGAAAGCGGGGGAUCGCAAGACCUCGCGCGAUUGGAGCGGCCGAUAUCAGAUUAGGUAGUUGGUGGGGUAAAGGCUCACCAAGCCGCCGAUCUGUAGCUGGUCUGAGAGGACGACCAGCGACACUGGGACUGAGACACGGCCCAGACUCCUACGGGAGGCAGCAGUGGGGAAUUUUGGACAAUGGGCGAAAGCCUGAUCCAGCCAUGCCGCGUGCAGGAUGAAGGCCUUCGGGUUGUAAACUGCUUUUGUACGGAACGAAAAGGUUUGGGCUAAUAAGCUGAGCUCAUGACGGUACCGUAAGAAUAAGCACCGGCUAACUACGAGCCAGCCGCCGCCGUAA